GAAUGCUGCUCUGGCUUUUAUAAAGAGAAUAAUACGUGUCAUGAAUGUGUAGGAUCAUUUGGUUUCAACUGUUCAGAUCCGUGUCCUGAAGGUUAUUAUGGACCACUAUGCCACCUCAAAUGUUCUUGUUCCGCCAGUGAAUAUUGUCACAGCAAAUUGGGUUGUCUAAAGAAUCAAAAAAAAGGCAACGACCAAAAAGAAAUAACUACAUUGACCAAACUUUUCCCCAGCCAGCCAGUGAAUAUCUAGGCAUGAAUGUAACAACAUGUGCAUCAGCUGCAUUUCCAGUGGUUUCAUUCCAAACAAAGCCAUUUGAAACUACUAUUACUUACUAUGAUUGCAUUUGAUGAAAUCAUAUAUGAAUCUAAGACGUAUUACGCCUAUUUUUUGAAAU